rnacentral:lncRNA from 10 species
CUGUUGUAUUUUGUUAACAGUGACAAUGACAAGCACUAACAGGAUGCUCCCGCUGUGAUUGAGAAUGUCAUUCCUGGGAGGAGGUAAUAUUAUCUCCAUUUACGGAUAAGGAAGCUGAGGCUUGAAAGAGACAAAUAAUGUGCCCAAGCUCAUACAGUCUAUAAGUGGGGGCUCUGGGACUCCAGAAAUUGUGUGUUGUGCUUGCCUCUAGAGGACAGGUGACACUGAGAGAGUGCUUCCUUGUGCCAGGCCCCAGGACCUGAGUGGGCCUACAUGCACCAUCUCACGAUGUCUCCACAGCAAUCUCCCCAGUGACCGAUGAGGAAAUGGAGCUCAGAGACAUUACCUUGCCAAAGUAGGAUCUUGUCGCCUGGUUCUGAUGGUGUCUUGGUUCCCGGCUGGGGUUUUGUGUUUACCACGAGCGUUGCCUGCUGUCGGGGAGCUGCGUGUGUUUCACAACAAACAGGGAGCCAGGGAGACCACCCUGCGGGGCUGCCCCUUCCCUCAGCGCUUUCUGCUUGGGUCGCUGGCGUCUUGCAGUGCCUUCGUUCGUCUGUGGUGUGAGGUGCUGGUCCAGGCUUACGCGCUAACAGUGAAUUAGAAGGAGAAAACGCUCUGCGAGUGCAGCGGAAGGUCAAUAUGGAGCCUGGUUUGCUUUUAGAAUCUUCCCAAGGCCGAUGGGCUUCCUCUUCCCUCCUGACCAGAGGCUUUGAUGCCCCUGCCCUGGGCUGCCUGGUUCCUGCCCCGAGUCUUCAGAAAGAUCCCCGGGCCUGGAGACUGUGAGUUCAGGUUCAGAUGCCUUGCGUGGCCUGUGAAUCCUGGGUCUGGUCUCUGUCCCCAGGCCGGUGUUCAGGGACCACCUUGAGCACCAAAGGCAGCCCAGUCCGGCUUUGACUCAGCUCCCAGGGCGGAGUCCCUUGCCCAGCACUGGGCAGGAGGAGGGCAUCCUCAGGGCAAGGUCUGCCAUCAGCAGACCAGAGCCAGAGCCCGCAGCCCCUGAGCACUUUCAGAUUCCUGCAGCGCAGAGAGGUUUUCCGGGAGGGAAGGGAGGACCCUGUGGCUGGAGAAAUCCCGCCGCGAACACCCAGCGACCAGGUCUACAGCAGCACCAGGUCUGUGCUUCCCCCUGGUGGUCACAGAUUUUACUACACGCGGCCCACAAGUAAAAUGAGUUUCUCUUCAGUGGCCCGGUUAUCUUCUGUCGUGUAGGAGGAAGUCCAGAGCCACGGAAAUUCGGUAAGGAUCGGAUAAGGGCAAUAAAAUCGCAGCUCUAAAUCUUUUCAUGGAGUUGAAGACAGACGUUUGACUGUGGGAGCCAUCUCAUCUUUAUAACCUGGUAAACAAUGCCAGAAUAAAAACAACAAAUUCAAUGUAUUUAAGUCGGUUUCGACAGUGAGGAAUUAAAAUUAAAUUUAUUUAAACUAUUUUGACUUUUACCCAAGUUUUUCUUACAGUUCCAUCUCAUUUUUCCCUCCUUACAUAGUUUGGGGAGUAGAGAACAGUCUAUUUUUGACUCCUGUGUAACUGACAUGGACACAGAGGCCUGCGGUCCCUUGGAGGAUUAGUGGCCCACGCAGGUGUGCAGACCACGGGUCCCUCAAUCAGAAGCGGGAUGUGUGGCAGGGAGCUUUGGAGAGCUUUCAUUUUGGAUUAGUGAUUUCCUGUCGACUUUUCCUCGUUUUUGUCACAGCACACUCGGAACAUUUCUCAUCAGCUGUGUACACUAUGUCAGGCAUUUCAAAUAUGUUUCUGGAAGUUGUCAGUGCUGUUCUCUAUGAGGCCUGAAGGAAAAAUUCAAUGUUUGUAGUAAAUAAAGUACAAAAAUUAUAUCAGCUAUUAAGAGGAUGGAUUAUUUCCAAGUUGCUUAGCCAUAUUGGUUGAGCGUUGAAUGCAGCAAUGAUGCCAACAUAUUAAGCACAAGAAUCUUGUAUUCCUGGAUACUGGAAAUUCCCUAGAAGAUGGUGGCGCAGGGUCAGCUGGGUGGGGAUGUCAAGGGAUGUACAGUGGACUUCAAGAAGGAGUUUAUGGAGAUGCAAGAGAAGGUUCUGAAAACUUUGCUAGGAUGGACCCUUUGUUGAAUUAGUUCUCAGGGAGGCUGAUUUGGAGGAGACAGGUGGCAUCGGAAGCUAGAAAUAGUGUUCCACAAACAAUGAGCUUCCAGGGAAUAUUCAUGCCUAGAAUUGAAGACACAUGUGUAUGGGUUCUGUCUUCCCCUCUGUCUCAGUCUCUGUUUUGGGUGAAAUUGGGUCCCCACCCCAAAUUCACAUGUUGAAGUCCUAACCCCAGUACCUCAGAAUGUUUAUUGCAUUUGGAGAUGUUUUUACAAAGGUGAUUAAGUUGAAAUGAGGCUCUUAGGGUGGGCUGCAAUCCCACAUGACUGCAAUCCCACGUGUCCUUAUAUGGAGAGGAGAUAAGGACACAGACACACACAGAGGGGGAAAGAUCAUAUGAAGACCCAAAGAGAGAGGCCACAGAAGAAACAACCCUGCUGAUGUCUUGAUUUUGGGUAUCUAGCCUCCAAAAUUGGAGAAUAUAUAUUUCUGUUGUUUAAGCCACCUGAUCUGUGGAGCUUUGUUACAGUAGCCCUAGCUGACGAAUCCAGUGUCCUUUUGAGUUUAAGGAGCAUGACUGGAUGACCCAUCCAUUCAGUAUCAGCACCAACCAAGUAGAAACCAUCAAAGGAAGUGGACGCAGUGGCUCAGGCCUCUAAUCCCAGCACUUUGGGAGACCAAGGUGGGAGGAUCACUUGAGCCCAGGAGUUUGAGACCAGCUUGGGCAACAUAGGGAGACCCUGUCUCUAAAAAAAUUAAAAAAUUAGCUGGGUGUGGUGGCAUGUGCCUGUUGUCUCAGCUACUUGGGAGGCUGAGGUGGGAGAAUUGCUUGAACCUAGGAGGUCGAGGUUGCAGUGAGCCAAGAUCACUGCCACUGCACUCCAACCUGGGCCACAGAGUGAGAUCCUGCCUCAAAAAACAAAAACAGGCUGGGGGCAAUGGCUCAUGCCUGUAAUCCCAGCACUUUGGGAGGCUGAGGCAGACGGUUGAUUGAGCCCAGGAGUUAGAGACAAGGCUGGGCAAGAUGGCAAAACCCCGUCUCUACCAAAAAUACACACACACAAAAAUUAGCUGGAUGUGGUGGGGUGUGCCUGUAGUCUCAGCUACUCAGGACGCUGAGAUGGGAGGAUGUUUUGAGCCUGGAAGGUGGAGGUUGCAGUGAACCCAGAUUGCAUCAUUGCACGCCAGCCUGGGUGACAGAGUCAGAUCCUGUCUCAAGAAAACAAAAAACAAACAACAAACCCAAACCCCAAACCAACCAAACAAACAAAUAAAAACAACCAAAAAACCCAUCUGAUAUGGUUUGGCUCUGUAUCCCCACCCAAAUCUCAUCUUAAAUUGUAAUCCCCGUGUGUCGGGGGAGGGACCGGGUGGGAGGUGAUUGGAUCCUGGGGGCGGACUUUCCCCUUUCUGUUCCAUGAUAGUGAGUGAGUUCUCAUGAGAUCUGGUAGUUUGAACGUGUGUGGCAGUUUCCUCUUUGCUUUUCCUCUCUCUCCGGUCUGCCGUGUGAGAUGUGCUUGCUUCCGCCUCACCUUCCACCUUGAUUGUAAGUUUCCUGAGGCCGCCCAGUCAUGCUCGCUGUUAAGCCUGUGGAACAGUGAGUCAGUUAAACCUCUUCUUCAUAAAUUACCCUGUCCCAGAUAGUUCUUUAUAGCAGUGUGAAAAUGGACUAAUACACCAUUAAAGUCCACUCUGUAAGGAACCAAAAAUCUUAAAAAACAGAAAAGUGACUUGUGUGAAUGGCAUCCAGUAUCUUUUACUAGACAAGAUAUAUUAGCAUGAUUUCUAGAGAAAAGCCCAAAUACAUGUCUGAAAUAUCUAUACCACAGUUAUGACUGACUAUAAAUCUUCCCCCCGCCCCCAGUUUUGUGGUGUCCUAAAAAGGAAUCCAAAUAGUUUGGAAAAUAUCCUCAAGUCUAAAUGAAUCACGCAGCCAAGUUUUAUGAAACCAACCUACAAAGUUAUCGAUUGCUACAAGAAAGAAGAUAUUCACUUGUUACUCCUAGUUUUGUUUUAGCUCUUCUGAGAUAUCUGGGGUUUAGCUUACGGAUUGCAUGAUUUGAUGAAACUCUGCACAACAGUUAGCGAGGAAAGGAACUUUAGCUCUGAGGACUUAGGGUCCAGCCAAUGGUCUGGGUACUGCGGCAUAUCUUUCACUCAUGGUGGUGGUGAAGUUAACACUGAUGAUUAAGCUAACCUCUACCAAGCACUUCCUUCCCAUGGGCUCUAAAUUCAGUGCUUGACAUAUUUCAUUUAUGUUUCACAGAAAUGCUAGGACCUGAGACAUGGUAUAAGGGAGUGGUUCAGUUUUGGUGACACUCAGCUAUGUGACCUUGAGCAAAUUGCUUCACUCUCUGUGCCUUGGUCUUCUCAUUUGUAAAAGGUUGUUGGUAAUGCAGGUGGGGCGCUUGAAGCAGUGCCUGGCACUGACGAAGGUUUUCGUGAGUGUUGGCCACUAGUAUUUUUCUUCACACCCUCAGCUGAGGAAAUGAAGGGCACUGGAGGUGUUAAGCCAUGUGUGUAACCACUUCUAUGCCAUCACGAGGGGGGAAUCUGGCAGCACAAGAGGCUGCAUCACUGAGGCUCUGCACCGCCUCCCAGUUGGGCUUGCUAUCCUUGCAGGUACUUGUCUCCUUAUUCCUGCUGAGAUGCACGAAGGUGACUUUAAUAUGCAUGGCCCGGCUGGGUGCGGUGGCUCAUGCCUGUAAUCCCAGCACUUUGGGAGGCUGAGGCAGGUGGAUCACCUAAGGUCAGGAGUUCAAGACAGCCUGACCAAUAUGGUGAAACCUUGUUUCUACUAAAAAUACAAAAAUUAACUGGGCAUGGCAGCAGGUGCCUGUAAUCCCAGCUACUCGGGAAGCUGAGGCAGGAGAAUUGCUUGAGCCCAGGAGAUGGAGGUUGCAGUGAGUCGCGAUUGCGCCACUGCACUCCAGCCUAGGUGACAGAGCAAGACUCUGUCUCAAAAAAAAAAAAAAAUGUGUGGCCCCUGCUCUUUUACCCCCGGUACUUCAGUGUGUCUUCUCCAAAAACAAGAUCAUUCUCCUCUAUAAUGAUAAAAUCAGGAAAUUGAUGCAUUUAAUCUAUAGAUCUUAUUUGAAUUGUAUUAACUGUUUCUCUUAUGUACUUUUUAGGAAAAGAAAAUGGUUCUUUUCCUGGUCCAGGAGCCAAUAUCCAACCUGGGGUUUCACAUUUCAUUUUGCUGUCAUGUCUCUCUGUCUUUCUUCUGUCUGGAACAGUUCAUCAGCCUUUUUGUUUUUAACUUUUAUGACCUUGACUUUUAGAGUACAGGACAUUUACUUUGUGGACUGCCAUUCAAUUUGACAACAGAUUUGUUUUUAAUGUGCACUUUCUGGAAACAAGAUAUUGUUCCUCAAAGAAAUGAAAAAAAUGUUGGGAAUACAUAAGACAUCAUAACAGACACCAGCCUGAGUCGAAGCUGUUAAAGAGGCCAAGAAUUCCCAAGCUUUCCCAGGCAAACGGGGAAGAACACUGGGAUGCCUUUUCCUCCUCCUCUGUCCAUCUGCAGGCCAAGUGUGCAUCAGUCACAGGCAAACUCUGAAUUGAGCUUUGUGCAAGUCUCUGGAAAGAGACCCAAGAUCGUGUGAUGAGCAAAAGUGACAGUGCUGGAGGCAGCGACAUCUGCAGAGCCAGCCCCAUCCCUAUCUGCAGCAGAAUAUGUAUGGGGAUCCUUUAUGUGAACAAUCCACCCAGGGUAGAAUGGGGCUUUUGACAUCAGCUGAGACCCAGGCGGCCUUACAAUGAGAGGGCUGUUGGUCAAAGGAAGGACUGUUUAAUGAACUGAGAAUCUGAGGCCAGCUCUGGCCAUCUGCACUUGGAAUCAUUAGAGCAACUCUACUGUAACUGGCAACCUUGAAUAAUGCAGCAAAUUCAUAUUCCAAAAUUGUGAACUUUAAAAUUUUGUGUUUGUGUCUAUGAUGAAAAGCAUUAUAUAAACAUUUGAUACUACAAUUUUAUUAGUAAGGAAGGCUGAAAAAGUAUCUCUCUUUUGACUCUGAGGUCAAUAAUGAUAAUGGCUUUUCCCCUACACUGGGAUAGAAAUGUUCUGUCAAGGAUAUGAAAACACUUUAUGAAAAUGAAAUUCAUUAAAGCCCUUAAUAAUCAGGUAGGGAAGGCAGGUGCUCACAAUUGUCACCUGUUGGUGAGUGAACACCUUAGGCUCGGGGAGGACAAUGACUCAAGAACAAGGUCGAAUUGCAGGUGGGGGGUGAAGCUGAUCCCUAACAGUGUCCUCCAGCCCCUGGCACUGAGGAAGGACAUGGAGGGCUUGCAUCGACUUUUCCUGGCAGGCUUGUGAUUCCCAGCCAGAAUGCAGGUGGCAAUGUUGUGAUUCCUGGCGUAACCUUCAAUGCUUCAAUGAUAAUCUCUGCUGGUGCCAGGCACCAGCUGAGUGUCACUGUGCAGCUCCCAGGCUUAAGUGAUGCAUGCCGAGGUUUUCAGAGCAGUCUCUCAUUUAUUAGUUGUGUUGGAAAGAAAUCUGUACUACCUAACUGGGUACCUCUGGAUUUUAACAGCUGUGGUUUAUAAGAGAUAUGAGAGGGGGUUUGUUUUCAAAGUGCCUUUCACAAAGUAACACCUUAGACUGUAGUUUACAUUCCAUUCCAGUAGGAUAACUUGCAACACUUCUGUGCUCAGAAAUCCAACUGUGCAAGAAAAGUCAGGUUAUAUUUUCAUACAGCCCGUUCUGGCAAAUAUGCCUUCACACCACUUUCCCUCCUCCUCACCGCUAUUGGCAAUAGUCCCAAUGGAAGAGUUUUAUGUCAAAUGCUGAGUAUCUUGGAAGCUGUCCUGCACAGACACGACUGCUUGGCUGCGUGUUGGAGAGUCGCGGUUGGACUGGGAGACCAGGAAGGUCCCUUCUGGUCUGAGAUGUGAUGACUCUAGAACUAAUUAGUUUCAACUCAUAACACGAAAUGAUACUAGCUACCAUUUGGUGGGCUUUUUCUGUGUUCCAGGCUCUGUGCUAAGAUCUUAGCAUUACUCUAAUUACAAAAUCCCUGCCAAUAUUAUCCUCAGUUUACGCAAGAACAAAUGGGUUUAGGGAAAUCAAAAACUUGUCCAAUGACACAGAUUUAAGAUUUAGCAACUGAUGGCCACGUGGAAAUGGAUUACAGAUUAUUCUAAUUGGACACUCUAAACGUGCAAUUUAACCAGAAUGAAAUUUAGGGCUGCGUGCUGUGGCUCAUGCCUGUAAUCCUAGCACUUUGGGAAGCCAGGUGUAUCCCUUAAGCCCAGGAGUUUGAGAGCAACUUGGGCAACAUGGUGAAACCUGUAUCUACAAAAAAUACAAAAAUUAGCCAGGUGAGGUGGUGUAUGCCUGUAGUUCCAGCUACUUGGGAGGCUGAGAGAUGGGAGGAUUGGUUGAGCCUAGGAGGUCGAGGCUGCUGUGAGCUGUGAUGGUUCCACUGCACUCCAGCCUGGGCGACAGAGACAGACUCCAUCUCAAAAAAAAAAAAAAAAAAAGUAGCUACCUUGUGGUUGCACUCGUCUGAGACUAGCUCAUGGCUCCAGCUCUCAGGGUGGUGAGUAAUGAUUCUGUGGUCAGACGCAGUUUUGAAGUCAGGCAAGAAAACCUUCAACAAGAGUUAGAGAUGUCCUGUCUAUGAAUUUCUCCUCUAGGCUUAGGGAUAGCCCUGGGAUUCAUGUCAUGCCAGUUAGGGAUCCACUCAUUGUAAGCAAUACAAGUGCCCCCGAAGAGACAGUGCAUUAAUUGUCACCCCUUAGGAGCAUUGUGUGAAUUAGUGUGAUUUAGCACAUGCCCAGAGGGAUGAAACUCUAGCUCCAUAGGGUAGGUCCUGAUUACUCCUGGAGCAGGCAGCCAGCUCAGCUCAUGGGGAGCUCUGAGAAGUCUCUCAAUGCCUCGCAUGCAGCCCCUGCUCAGGAGUCAUGUGUCACUUCACAGUCUUGCUUUCCAGUGGGUCAAAGCAUGAUGUUUAUGAGAAACAAAUACACAAAAUUCUGACUUGUGUGAAUACAGAACACGUGCAAUAAAACGACUGCAAUCUAUUUUUAAAAUGUGGUCUGAGAAGUCAGGUUUAAUAUGACUAUGUAAUAUAUAAACAAUAUAUUUUCCACAGAAAGGAAAAUAUAAAUAAUAAAAUAUGUCUAUUUCUUUUUUUUGGUGGAAAAUUACUCCCACAAUUUGGUCCCAAGGGGGUCUUAAUUUGUCAUCAGGUCUGUGGCUAAAUGUCUUAUAAAGGAAUGCUUCUUUCUUUCGAGAAGUGUACAGGAACAGUCUGCACUGACUGCUUUUACCUGUAAAUGUUUUGAGAAUUCAGAAGUCACUUUCCUUCCACAAUAGGUGCUAGGCAUUUUAUUUAAAUAAAGCAAAAACAUUUCUGUCAUAAAGAAGGUGUUAAUAACCUCAAAGCUAUGCGAAAUAUACUAGUACAAUCUAAUACUCAUGGUGAAAAAUACAGUAAUUAAGAGCAAUUCAAGUUUUUUUGUUUUGGUUUAACUUCAGAAUUAAAAUAAACUCAGAAUUAAAAAAAUAAAAAAUGGUUUUAUUACAUGUCAGAGUAUUGAGAUACAAAAUAUAUACCAGAU